AUUGAACGCUGGCGGAAUGCUUUACACAUGCAAGUCGAACGGCAGCACGGGAGCUUGCUCCUGGUGGCGAGUGGCGAACGGGUGAGUAAUAUAUCGGAACGUAUCCAAUAAUGGGGGAUAACUAGUCGAAAGAUUAGCUAAUACCGCAUACGCCCUGAGGGGGAAAGCUGGGGAUCUUCGGACCUAGCGUUAAUGGAGCGGCCGAUAUCUGAUUAGCUAGUAGGUGAGGUAAAGGCUCACCUAGGCGACGAUCAGUAGCUGGUCUGAGAGGACGACCAGCCACACUGGAACUGAGACACGGUCCAGACUCUUACGGGAGGCAGCAGUGGGGAAUUUUGGACAAUGGGGGCAACCCUGAUCCAGCCAUUCCGCGUGAGUGAAGAAGGCCUUCGGGUUGUAAAGCUCUUUCGCAAGGGAAGAAAACUUAACCUCUAACAUAGGUUGAGGCUGACGGUACCUUGAUAAGAAGCACCGGCUAACUACGUGCCAGCCGCCGCGGUAAAAC
rnacentral:rRNA from 1 species